AUACGAAGGGGGCUAGCGUUGUUCGGAAUUACUGGGCGUAAAGCGCGCGUAGGCGGAUUGGUCAGUUAGGGGUGAAAUCCCAGGGCUUAACCCUGGAACUGCCUCUAAUACUGCCAGUCUUGAGUUCGGGAGAGGUGAGUGGAAUUCCUAGUGUAGAGGUGAAAUUCGUAGAUAUUAGGAAGAACACCAGUGGCGAAGGCGGCUCACUGGCUCGAUACUGACGCUGAGGCGCGAAAGCGUGGGGAGCAAACAGGAUUAGAAACCCUUGUAGUCC
rnacentral:rRNA from 1 species